rnacentral:lncRNA from 1 species
UGAUUUUUAUUAGCUAUUUUGUUUAUUUGUUGACCUCUAAUUUUGCUUAAAGAAAUAUAAGUUGGGAUGGUUUUUGUAUAUUCAAGGUUUAUUUUGAACAUAUUUGAGAAGUUGUGAGGAUGAUUGGAUCUAUGGUGGUUGACUAGGGAGGAGGAUGAUGGUUGUUGCGAUGGAAAGGAAAGAGGAAUUUGUGAGGGGGAUGGUGGCGUUGAAGAUGGUGAUGCCAAGAGAGAGUUGAGAGAAAGUGAAUGAGGGUUGGGUUUGUACGAGAAGGGAGAGGACGGAAAGGCUUUUUUCUUUUAAUUACCAUGUUUUUAUUAAUUUAGAAAUUAACUAUUUUUCUUAUUUUCAACUCAAAUUAAAAAAAAUUCUUUAUUAUAUGUCAAUUUCUGAUUGGCUAGACUUUUUUUUAACAGAGAUAAUAGUUGGGGCUUAUAAUGAUUAAGAAACUAUGGUUUAAAUUCUUA